rnacentral:ncRNA from 19 species
AUAAGCUAUAGGAAAGACGGUUUUUUGUUCGUUUUAAAUGCGGAUAAGAAUUAAAAGGGAAGCAGGUGAAAGUCCUGCACAACAGCCAUUACUGUAAUUAAGGUGAAUGUCUGCAAUAGCCAUUGGUUUUUACCGAGAAGGUGCAGUACAAAAGUAUUUUGGGUAAAGCCCGUAUACUUGCCUUAUAAGUCAGGAGACCUGCCUCUUUCUAUGGUUUUUUC